GAUGAAGAACGUAGCGAAAUGCGAUAAGUAAUGUGAAUUGCAGAAUUCAGUGAAUCAUCGAAUCUUUGAACGCAUCUUGCGCUCCUUGGUAUUCCUUGGAGCAUGCCUGUUUGAGUAUCAUGAGCAAAUCUCAAAGUCAAUUCCUUUUGUUGAUUCAAUUGGUUUUGCUUUGGACUUGGAGGCCUUGCAGAUUUCACAGUCUGCUCCUCUUAAAUGCAUUAGCUGGAUCUCAGUAAUUAUGCUUGGUUCCACUCGGCGUGAUAAGUAUCACUCGCUGAGGACACUGUUAAAAAGGUGGCCAGGAAAAUACUGAUUGAACCGCUUCUAACGGUCUAUUAAGUUAGACAAUUGCCCUUAAGUUUGAUCUCAAAUCAGGUAGGACUACCCGCUGAACUUAAGCAUAUCAAUAAGCGGAGGA
rnacentral:misc_RNA from 1 species